rnacentral:ncRNA from 2 species
CUCUUAUCAAGAAAGGCUGAGGGAAAUGGCCCGAUGAAGCCUUGACAACCUGCUGAUGCUGAAUAAGCUGAAAGUAAGGUGCCAACUCCAUCCCGAUGGAAUAUCGGGACAGAUAAGUC